GACAGAGGAGGAAAGCGUUAUCCGGAAUUAUUGGGCGUAAAGCGUCCGUAGGUGGUUUGGCAAGUCUGGGGUUAAAGCCCGGAGCCUAACUCCGGAUCGGCCCUGGAAACUGCCAGACUAGAGUAAGGUAGGGGUUGCGGGAAUUCCCGGUGUAGCGGUGAAAUGCGUAGAUAUUGGGAAGAACACCAGUGGCGAAAGCGCGCAACUGGGCCAUUACUGACAUUGAGGGACGAAAGAUAGGGGAGCGAAUGGG
rnacentral:rRNA from 1 species